rnacentral:lncRNA from 1 species
GGAAGGUUCUUCUGCUGCAGCUGGAGUAGGUUCUGGACGCCUACUCUGAUCCUGGGACACUCCAAUGCCGAGUCCCUCUAGAAUGUUUCUCAAGCAAGCAGCUCUUUCUGAUGGCUGGGAUAGAUCCUCCAAGUCUUCCCAUGUCUGCUCAUCAUAGUAUCCUUUGUCUUCCAUGAAUCUGACAUCCCUUGACACUAGGACUCUCCUAGCUGUAGGAUCAUAGCAUUUGUAUCCCUUCUGUGAAGUGGAAUACCC